UGAGCUCAAAUUUUGAAUCUGGCGGUCUUUGGCCGUCCGAGUUGUAAUCUAGAGAAGCGUCGUCUACACUGGACCGUGUAUAAGUCUCCUGGAAGGGAGCGUCGUAGAGGGUGAGAAUCCCGUCUUUGACACGGAUGUCCAGUGCUAUGUGAUGCGCUCUCGACGAGUCGAGUUGUUUGGGAAUGCAGCUCAAAACGGGUGGUAAAUUCCAUCUAAAGCUAAAUACAGGCGAGAGACCGAUAGCGAA
rnacentral:rRNA from 1 species